ensembl:lncRNA
UUUUAGCAAGAGGAAUCUACAGGAAAGGAGUUCACAUGUUAAACUGGCCUGCCUCCAGUCCAGACCUGCCAACAUUUGGAGCUUUAUGACAAGAUAAAGAGGACAGCUCUAUCAAACAAGAAUAAAGAAUCAGCUUCCAAAAGUACAACAAAAGGCUGAUUUAGAGAGGAGAGUCUGUUGAUAAAGAAGGUGAUAUAAGACAGUAGUAUGCAUGCACAUGUUCCUGCUUUGAUUGUCCUUGUGCUUUUUUUUUUUAAUGUUUAUUUAUAAGAUUUUAAGUUCGAGUUACAUAAAAUCACACCAGACAAAGGACAUAAGAUUCAAAAACAAUAACAUUCAAGCACAGAAAAAAAGAAAACCAAAAACAAAUAAACAACAAAAAAAACCCAAACAGGAAAACAGGAAACAAAAGACGGAAAAUACAGCGGUUAGCCAGUACAAAUCAAAAGUUCCAAAGAAAUACCAGUGUCCAAAGAAGAUGAUCUUUUGUGUGAGGUUAGACAGGGCAACAGAGAGUUCACCAAGUCCAGAAGAUGUGGGGAACAAGUCCAGGAAGGAAUCAGGGCCCGGCAGAAGUGCAGUUUCACACAAACACAAAGUGCAGUCAAAUGGGUUAAAGUUUAUGUUGAAUCCCUGUUAAUAUGAUUGAGAAAAGGGCCCCAGAUGUCGCCAAACUUAAAAUGAGUGUCAGCCAGGCCAUAAUGAACCUCUUCAAUAUACAAACAUGCAAUCAUCUCAUGUAGCCAAACCCUAAACAAUGGAGGAGAUGGCUCCAAGAACAAGUCUUUUAGCUACAAUCAUGCCAAACAUUAAGGCCUUCUGAAGAGGACGUCUGAGUGCCACUGAGGUCAGGGAGCAGCCUGGCACUGCAAGUGCACCAUUUUGUGCUAUUUUUUUUAAAUUAAAUAUUUGGUCUAAAGGAUUUAAUAUGAGAAUUUCUAUUUCCAGUUUUCAGUUUGUUUUAAAAAGUUUUGAAAUUUCCAAGAUCAGCAUUUUCAGUGGCAGAUGUUUG